GAAAGCGGGGGCGUGGUAGCGGGCGGAGUUCUUCGCAGUGUGGCUUGAGGGUUAUCUGCUUUCCAAUCCGCUAGGGAACUUGUUUAUUUUUUUUAAAAAAAACCUUCUGGGGUCCACUCCAGACUUACUAAAUCACACUCUCUGGGGUUUGGCACUUUCAUCGUACUCUGUCGGCUAAAGCAAGUUAAAGGGUCAGGCCAGAUUCAAGGGAAAGGGACUAUGCCAGGGUACUAGUUAUUUUAUGGUAUUUAGAGCUUGCUUCUGAGAAGAUGAAAGAGGAAAUGGCCUUGGAGGUAUGACUGGUGGGGUGGAAGUAGACCGUAUUUAGGGUGUUAGUAAAUUUCUGUUGGCUCUGUUAAAUAAAAAUUAUAGGAGGCCAUUAUUUUGGACUAAGUUCCUGCACUAGGUCCCAAAAGACCAGACUAAAAAUCAAAAUGGAGUCACGCCUUAUAAAGAGUUCCCUGUCACUUGGACUGUGGUCUGACCUUCCUAGAAAUCAGGAGAAAGAAGACAGCCAGUUUCUGGAACAGGCCAGUUUAAAUCAUCAAUAGACCCCACUUUACAAGGAGUGUAAACUUUGAAAUGACCAAUCCGCUUUUUGUUCUUUGUUUCUGUCUAAAGCAACCUCCUCUGCUUGGCUCGUUGGAACACCAUUUUAUGGAAUAACGUAUUGCUCGAUUCUAGAAUCGCAAUAAAGCCCACUGAGCUGUUCAACUAAA